AUUUAGCGUUCCGGUAUGAUGCCGUGUAGAAGCCAAAGGGGCAUGGGUUUAAUAAAAACUGUCAUACCUUUUCCAGGUUAGCCCGCUUCCAUCUUAGACUGCAUCAUCACUUACCACCAGCUGAGAUUGCUGUCAAGGGCUAGCUUGUAUCUGAAU